UAUUUGAUUAAUUUUCUCGUAUGGUUGGACUCGAAAUAAACAUAUAUAGACAUCUUUGUUUUAUUCACCAGGAGCCUCGAAAGAACGCGAACGACAGUCCCCCAACUGUUGUAGUUAAAUACGGAGAAGAAACAUGUAAAACAGAAACAACAACACAUAUAAACCCUUCAACGGAAAGGGGAGGCAACUGCCUUAGUCUGCGCUUUCCCCCUCUUUCCCGCAUAACAGAAAUGGUGGAGGCAAGUGGAAAGAUCCAUGGUACCCGUAAAGCGAGUAGUUUCCCGAAGAAUAGUGUAUUGAAAUUCGAAAAGAAAAUAAGUGUGUUAAAUAUAUUCUAAAGGAUAAAGUAGAAAGUAGUAUGGAGAAAGGAGAAUCGAUAAAGGAAAAUGGAGAAAGGAGACAGGAGAAUAGAGAUGGACCAUUUGGAACAGAGAAAGGAGAACAAAGAACGGAGAAGGAAGAAUCGAAAAAGAAAAUGGAGAAAGGAGACAGGAGAAUGGAAUAGGAGCAUGCAGAACGGAGAAAGGAGAAAGAAGUACGCAGAAUAGAGAACGGAGAAAUGUGUAACAUUACGAAGCUUAACUCGGACACUGAUUCUGAACAGUGGGAUUUAAAAUGAACUGUAUUGUUUCAUUCUUUGUGUAUAUAAUGUAUAUAUG
rnacentral:lncRNA from 1 species